AGCUGGUUUUAACCACGAUAUGUGGCACGAUUCUUAACUUCUACCACCCAAUACCAACAUAUUAUUAUCAUUACAAGUCCUCAUUUUUGCUGAAUUUAAUCACAGGUUACUGUUUAUGGUGUUAGGUAGGAGUUAGUUGACGUUUUUUUCUAGCUAACAAACGUUACAGGUGGUCAGUGUCUGUUUGAACUGGACUGAGAGAAGCUGCUGUUGUGUCAAGUUCAUGUGUUCAUAUUAAAGCCAAGGUUCUACUGACUAGCUAACUGACUGGAUGCACAUUAACGUUAGAACUCCUAGUGUGUGUGUGUGUGUGUGUGUGUGUGUGUGUAGGUGUGUGUGUAGGUGUGUGUACAGACAGACAGACAGACUCAUCAUGGACAGAAGAUUAGAUAUAAAACGCAUUGUUUGGUUAUUUGCCUUUAGGUUGACAUUACAAAGAGAGAGAGGGGACGUUAUUUAUUCGUAUUCUUAUUGGUAUUUUUUUGUCAGGCCUGCCUCGGCAGACUCCGGCUAGGGCUCCUCCCUCCUCUUGUUUGUUUUCCUUUUUAGGUGUUGUGUGCUGGUGGCAGCGGCGGCAGGUGCGAGCAAUCUGGGCAUCAGCAGGAACCGGUGUGCCAGGACCAAUUUGUCAUCAUCAGUUCGACGCCGGAUCGUGAAUGCUCACAUGCGGACCACACCUGCUCUGCUGAUCGAACCAUCUUGCCCUACUGGACUCAUCAAGACCUCUGUGUUCCUAAUGUGGCCUACUGAUUAGCCAUCAUGCCAUACAGCUGUGGGGGAACUAAUGAUUGGUUUGGCCGUUGCAGCAGGGGGUUCCAAUUGAUUGACGGACAUAGCUCCAGUAUACUCCUGAACACUCCUGGACAGUGUUCUGUGGCUGCAGGGCAGAGUCUGCUGACGGUGUCCCGCUUAUCGGCGGCGUCAUGCGCGUGUAGCGUCGGACAGCCGAGGUAACCAAAAUGUUUGUUUAUGUUUCAUUGUUAUCGUUCUGUUGCUUGAUUGUGGUUAAACAUUUCUUUGUUUCAUUACAGUUUUGCCUCUGUUGCCUUGUCUUUUUGCUUGUUUAUUUUGUAGUUUUUUUUCUCAUAGUUUGUAGUUGUUUUGCUUAGUUCUGUAUUAGUUUGCUUGGUUCGAGUUUAGUUUUGUUUUCUCCCCGUAUGUGUUGUUUAUUCUUAGGUUGUCGUGGCUGGUUCUCUGGCUCAGUAAUCAGGUUUCUCCCCUCCAUAGCUGCGUAGGGCCUGUGUGACUUCCAGUUUUAAUAACUGCAUUUAUAUUAACAUUAGUGUGUGUUGUGUGCCGAACAUAUUUUUGUACCAGAAUAAAAAAUUGUAUUUAUAUUUUUCUAUACACGCCUCUGUAUUCAUUUGUGCACGUACCUGUGUUUAGUAGGGGAAACCCUCUGUUGAGAGGCAGGAUUGUUAACAUUCUUAGGGUGAAAGUCCCUAGGUGGCGUUGUUGGUUCUGUGUUAAAAGAAACCACAAGACCCUCACCAGUCCUAACUUGGUUACACUAAGCUGACUUCUGGAUCAUCUCCGUCACUCUUCAGUCCUCCGUCCGAUUCCCAUCUGCCGUCGCUGCCGAGACCACCAGCUCCUGUCCCCAGCACUUUACGGCCCCAACACGAGCUUUUUCUAGGCUGUUUUAGAGUUACGUUUGUCAUAGGUUAGUAUUGUUUGUAGUACCUGUUAGUUGAUGAAGGAUUCACCCGGUACUCUUGUUAGCAGAUCUGGUUUAUAGUCUAAUGAUUGCGAACUUCGUUUCCAGUGAGCUUAAUUGUUUCAUAGCUUCGAGUUCUACCUUAGUUUUACUAAAGCUUUGUGGCUCCUUAGUUAUAGUUCAUCCUCUGUAUUUAGUGAUCAUAAUUGCGCCUCGCUUCAGGUGAUACUUUAGUUUCUGUAUGCUUAGUUGCUCAACUAAUCUUCAGCAUUAGCUGUUAUAGUUCUAACUCCCCUGCCCAGGUUUGUGCCUGCCGUGGGUCAGUUUCUUGUUGAUGUGAUUUGUAGUUCGUACCGCCCGCCAUUAGGGGCACUCUAGCUCUUAGAGUUUAGUUACAGUAUCUGUUUCCUUUUCCGGAUGCGAGACCUUUGGGAAUUGUAGUCCCUGUCACCUUUUGUUGUUAUAAUAAAUCAUUGUGUUAGCACACGUUUGUCUCCUCUUUUCCUGCGCCUCAAAGAAAACCCUAACAUUUUUUCAUAUUUAUGCAAUUUUUCAUCUAGUUGAAUGCAAUCUUUUUGUGUAUGAUUGUCAGUCCGAAGAGGGAGAGAUGAAAAAGGGGAAGGAGAGGAGAGCGUUUAAGGUCAGGAAGAACCAGGUAAGAAAACAAACAGAGAACAGUGGCAGCAGAACAACAACUGUUAAGCUGACAAGCAUUUAAAUAACCUUUAUCAGAUUCGAUGGUUUAGUCACAGACUUUGUCAAAAAAUGUUCUGCUUUUCUUUCACAAAUGUGGGAAUGAAAUUGCGUUAAAAUGUACAAAACAGUGAAAUGUAUCUUGCCUGUCCGGGCACCUCUGGGUGCUCAGCACCAGUGUUACCAACUCCUCAGUAAGGAAAGUAGCUAUUGGCUGUCCUAAAAGUCGCUAAAUGACGUCAUCGCCUAAUUUGCACAGUUUCCCGGUAAUUGUAAUCAACGUUGUAGGAGAGACAGAAAGUGAGAAUAAAACACCCAAAAUGUGUUUCUGAACUAGAGGCUGAAUGCAGGGAUUUAUUUUAGUGACAGUGAAGAAACAUUUUCAUUUCCAUCCCGCUCUGUAAGCAGGACGGAUCUGCAGAGACUUUGAUUCAUCUGCCGUCUGGACAUGGAGUGAUGUGGGUCUCCUCUAAUCAGACAGUAGGAUGCUGCAGGUCACUAGACUGACCGCCUGUGCUUUGGAAGGGGAGGAGCUCACAGCGCCACCUGCUGCUCGUUGAGGACGAUGCACAAUGAGGGACGUCUGCAGAGACUGAGAAAGAGUCUCACCACAUCCUGACAUGAGGAAAAAGACUUUAUUGAAGACUACAAUGAGAAAAACUAUCAGACAGCAGACGGCUGCAUUCAAGGUGAGAUCUGAACAUUUGAUCUGGAACAGGAAUUCAAUAACGGCAGCAUGAGCUUCAUUUCAGUCUGUAGCUGCUGAAUUCAUGGAUGAAUCAUCUGGCACUAGAGAAUAAGACCAUCAAACAUCCACGUCAGCUGAUGGAGGUCCAAGAGUCUCACCCAACAAACAACCUACAGAGUGAAGACCUUGAAUCUGAUUGGACGGCCUCCUAUUCAGCCACAUGUGUGAACAAAUGCCUCUAAGCUGAUUUGUUUUCUAAAAUAAAUCUAGUUUGAGUCCUAA